CAAUUAUGUCUGUUGGUAAACAUCCUGUUGAAAAAAUAUAUAAUGCGAGCACAUCUGUAGCAAAUUUAGUCGACUACAAGACGUGAUUUAUCCACUGCAACCGAUCGCUACAACCAUGAAAGCUGCACUACUCUUCGUCAUCGCGCUGGUAAUUCUGCACAACGUUACCGCCGGCUGCGAGGACCAAACCCCGCCGUGCACCUGCAAAACGGGGGUGGGAAUGUGGAAGACCGAGGCAAAUAAGUGCAAGUACGUGUGCAAGAAGGACGACAAGGAGUUAUCCUGCGAGGAGGCGGAGAAGGCCCAACAACAAGCGCAACCGAAGUAAAAUCCAAAUUAAGCUUGAAACAGUAUCAGCUUCUGUAAUUUGACGCAAUAAUGUAAUCUUGAGCUGAAAUUAAAUGUUAAUUAUUAAUAUUAUUAAAA